rnacentral:rRNA from 1 species
CUAUACAUGACUCUGCGCAUAUCAAUAAGCGGAGGAAAAGAAACUAACAAGGAUUCCCCUAGUAACGGCGAGUGAAGCGGGAAGAGCUCAAAUUUGAAAUCUUAAAGGGUUUCCCUUUACGAAUUGUAGUUUAAAGAAGUGUUUUCUGCUGAGGUUUUGGUAAAAGUCCUUUGGAAUAGGACAUCAUAGAGGGUGAGAAUCCCGUAUUUGACCUACUAUUUCAGCUUUGUGAUACACUUUCAAAGAGUCGGAUUGUUUGGGAAUGCAGUCCAAAAUGGGUGGUAAACUUCAUCUAAAGCUAAAUAUUGGCGAGAGACCGAUAGCGAACAAGUACCGUGAGGGAAAGAUGAAAAGAACUUUGAAAAGAGAGUUAAACAGUACGUGAAAUUGUCAAAAGGGAAGCGUUUGACACCAGUGUUGUUUUUCUGAAAAUCCAAUUAAAGAACUGUUUAUGCUAAGUUGUUUAGACUUUAUCAGCUAACUGUUUAGUUUUGAGCUUUUCUUUGAUGCACUUUUCAGUUAACAAGUCAACAUCAAUUUCUUUUGCUGUAAAAAAGCUUGAGGAAGGUGGCUUGAGAUUCGUCUUAAGUGUUUAUAGCCUCUUGCCUAUGCAGUCGGAGAGAUUGAGGUCUGCAGCGUAGAUCCUUCGGGGCUAAAUGCAUUUGUGCUAAGUUAUAGCAUUUUAUAGACAACUUGUUGACUAUGAUUUGUCUUGUAGCUUACUCGCUUAUGUUAUUUUACCUACGCUUAGGAUGUUGACAGCAGUAUAGACUGU